AGGGUUUGAUCCUGGCUCAGAAUGAACGUUGGCGGCAUGGAUUAGGCAUGCAAGUCGAGUGCAAUAGGUUUGGUGCUUGCAUUAAACCUUGAAAGCGGCGAAAGGGAGAGUAACGCGUAGGAUAUUUGCCCCCGGGACUGGGAUAGCGGCGGGAAACUGCCGGUAAUACCAGAUAAUGUCUCCGGACCAAAGGUGUGAUUCCGCCUGGGGAUGAUCCUGCGUCCUAUUAGCUAGUUGGUAGGGUAAUGGCCUACCAAGGCUUUGAUGGGUAGCGGGCGUGAGAGUGUGGCCCGUCUCACUGGGACUGAGAUAUUGCCCAGACACCUACGGGUGGCUGCAGUCGAGAAUCUUCCGCAAUGGGCGAAAGCCUGAUGGAGCGAUGCCGCGUGCGGGAUGAAGGCCUUCGGGUUGUAAACCGCUGUCAGUGGGGUGGAAAUUGUUUGGGGUUAUCCCCAUUCAUUGACCUAACCGCAGAGGAAGUCCGGGUUAAGUAUGUGCCAGCAGCCGCGGUGAUACGUACCGGACGAACGUUAUUCGGAAUCACUGGGCUUAAAGAGUGCGUAGGCGGCUCUGUAGGUGAGGUGUGAAAUUCCACGGUUCAACCGUGGAAUUGCGCUUCAAACCGCAGAGCUUGAGGAGGACAGGGGUGAGCGGAACUGAUGGUGGAGCGGUGAAAUGCGUUGAUAUCAUCAGGAACACCUGUGGCGAAGGCGGCUCACUGGGUCCUAAUUGACGCUGAGGCACGAAAGCUAGGGGAGCGAACGGGAUUAGAUACCCCGGUAGUCCUAGCUGUAAACGAUGAGCACUAGAUCGUGGGGACCUCUACAUCCUCUCGGUCGUAGCGAAAGUGUUAAGUGCUCCGCCUGGGGAGUAUGGUUGCAAGGCUGAAACUCAAAGGGAUUGACGGGGGCUCACACAAGCGGUGGAGGAUGUGGCUUAAUUUGAGUUUAUGCGAAGAAUCUUAUCCUAGUCUUGACAUGUUUUAGAAUCCUCCUGAAAGGGAGGAGUGCCCUUCGGGGAGCUUUUGCACAGGUGCUGUAUGGCUGUCGUCAGCUCGUGUCGUGAGAUGUUGGGUUAAGUCCCUUAACGAGCGAAACCCUUGUCUCUAGUUGCCAGCGGGUAAUGCCGGGGACUCUAGAGGGACUGCCGGUGUUAAACCGGAGGAAGGUGGGGAUGACGUCAAGUCCUCAUGGCCUUUAUGACUAGGGCUGCACACGUCCUACAAUGCGUCGUAUAAAGGGAAGCAACCUCGUGAGAGCAAGCAAAUCCCAAAAAGCGGCGCCCAGUUCGGAUUGCAGGCUGUAAUUUGCCUGCAUGAAGCCGGAAUCGCUAGUAAUCGCGGGUUAGCAUACCGCGGUGAAUAUGUUCCUGAGCCUUGUAUAUACUGCCCGUCAAGUCACGAAAGUGGGGUGCGCCCGAAGUCGCUGAGCUAACCCGCAAGGGAGGCAAGCGCCGAAGGUGAACUCCGCGAUUGGGACUAAGUCGGAACAAGGUA
rnacentral:rRNA from 1 species